rnacentral:tRNA from 1 species
GUAGAGAAAUGGCAACUUAUGCGCAUUCGUAAUGCGAAGGUCGGGGGUUCGAUUCCUCUUUCCGGCACCA